GGCUCUUUUUCCAGUAUUAAAUCUUGUUGAGCACUUCCAGUCUAUGAGAGCUAACUAGUUAGCCACUAGCAAAACACUAAGGCAAGCUAGCAGCUUGACAACCAAAUACCAGACGAUUAAUAGUAGCUGUAGUACAGUUGUACAAGCAGUAGUAGUAAUACUAAAAGUACAAGCAUAAGUAGUAGUAUAAACAGCUGUUAGAGUCGUAGAAGUAGUAUCAGCAUUUGUAAUAGUAUUACAAGUUGUAGUAGCAGUGCCAGUAUCAGCAGCAGUAGUGUACUACUACUACUACUAGUAGUAGUCACAUUGCUAUUACUACCACCAAUACUACCAAUAGUAGUUAUAAAGUUUAACUCAUGUAUAUCCAGAUUACCAUCUAUGUUCUUCCUCCAAACCCAUUUUAUGAUUGGGAUUACAGGCAGUUCUUUAGGACUGCUCUCAAAUAAUUGAAAUGUUACUAAACAAGGUUAUACUUAUCAAAUUAAAUAGCUCUGGUCUCCAGUAUAUUGGCGAAUUCGGUUCUUUGUACUUAAUUUAUUAGCAUGAUUUCUUUUUAAUAUGUUGUGUACAGACUUAAUUACUUCUCUGUCUACUUUUCUUACUCCAUGUAGGUUUCCCAGAGACUAUGGGUUGAGGAGGAAGUGGAAGUUUGUCGGCUUAGACCUGGUGUCAUUCCAUCAGUGUUAAACUUCCCGGCUCAUCUUGGAAGAGUACGUGCCAGAAAGACCACGACCAAGCAGCCUUGAGAUCUUAGGCAGCGUCUCCCUGAGGUUCCUCUCUAUCUCCCCACACAUCCACCAACCACUGGAACACAUCUGCAAAGUUCUGCCAGACCAGCUCAGCUUCCCCUCAGAAGAAGUGCAGCCACCUGCCAGAUGAAGGAGCCUUUUGAGAGGCAGCUGGCAUCGUGAUUGGACUGUACUUUGGUCUGUUCCAAUCCAGCUUCAGCUCCAGAGACGGCAGGCGGGACGAGUCAACGGAGGCCGGGUGGACGAAGGCAUGCAGCUGAGUACAAUCUAGAAAACAACAGAGGAGGAGUGCAGGGCCAGAACAAACAGAGUAGCAUCGUAUGUCUCUUAGAAAACAUCAUAGUAUAGCCUUUGGUAUGAAAAAACGCCAUCAUAUACAUCGUAUAUUGUACAAAUAACAAGUCAAAGGAAAGAGACAUACAUUGUAGAAUUGUAGUAAUUGUGGGCUGACUGAUUUACUGAUUAUCAGUAUUUUAUUUUUUACUGAUUUAUGGUAAUAAAUACAUUUAAAAAUGG